GGGGACCGCCGGCCGGAAGUCGCGUCGGCGCCCUCGCGCCCGCGAGGCCCGGGUCCGUGCGCGCGGCCCCGGCUCCCGCCAGGCUCGUGCGCGCGGCCGAGUCGCGCUAUUGCGGAGUAGGUCGGGGCGAAGGAUGAGCUGGUUCCAUUCUAUCUGGCUGGGAAGUGGGCCGAGUGUCCUGUGGGGAUCUUCAGCAGCUUUGAAACACCAAGGCUGUUGCAGUUGGAAUGCACUGGAAUGGAGCUGAGGUCACUCCUGUCAAAGAUGGUCUUGGUUGAGGAGAUCUUCAGUCCUUCCAGUUGACGGAUCUUCCUCACCAAGGCAGGAGAUGGAACUACCACCCCCUCCGCAUCCAAAGCCCACAACUCCUUCCAGCUAACACACCGACUUACUUGUAAUUUCUCCCACUGAGUGUACAUUACUUCUGCCGACAGUAGAGGAGAGACCACAUGCUUAUUGUGGGAUUGCUUUGUGUGGCCCAGCCUUCUGGUCACCUGCCACUACAGUUCUGUGCCCCACUCUCGCUCUGUCUCUUUCUCUUCAGCCUCCUCUGCUGUUCAGUGAAGUUCCCCAGAAGCUGAAUGUUGGAUUAAGGCAAUUUACAGCCUCCAGACUCAGUUGUUUCAGACCAUGACCAUGUUCAUGGACAGCAGUGGUUUCUGAUGGAUUUGUUGUUACUAUUUAAAACCUCUCUGUGUAGCAGUUAGCGUAACACUUUACAGCACCAGUGAUCCGGGUUCAAUUCCGGCCGCUGUCUGUAAGGAGUUUGUAUGUCCUCCCCGUGUCUGCAUGGGUUUCCUCCAGGUGCUCCGGUUUCCUCCCAUAUUCCAAAGACAUACAGGUUAGGAAGUUGUGGGCAUGCUAUGUUGGCGCCAGAAGCGUAGCGACACUUGCGGGCUGUCCCCAGAACACUCUACGCAAAAGAUGCAUUUCAUUGUGUGUUUUGAUGUACAUGUGACUAAUAAAGAAAUCUUAUCUUG